CCGGGCGCACCGGCUGUCCUCGGAGCUCUACCAGCAGGCUUUCAUGGGAGCGGAGGUGCCAAUGUUUCCAUUGUGCGGUAACCGCUCUUCAUCACAGCCACCUCCAAUCGAGGCCGCACGGUGUCCCCAGAACCGCGCUUGGUACAACGUGCCCCGACCGCUGCGCUCGACUUGGGAGCGCGCCCCGCCCCGAGCGCACGACCUCCCUUCCCUCUCCGCGACUUGAGCUUGCUUCCCGGAAAACCAGUGUAGUGGCAGCGGUUUGCCUCACAGCGCCCCUGGCAGCACUGAGGAGUAAAGGAAUAUUUGGGAGGAUCAGAAGCUUGGUCCUGAUUUUGCCAUCAACCAGGACCUUGAUGACUUCAAGGGAGUCCCCAAACCCUGGGUUUCUGUUUUCUCAACUCUAACAUGAGGGGCUAGACGCAUCUGGUUUAGUUCGUCUCCAUGAUCCUGUGAAUUUCAGAUGUUGAAAAUCUUCAGAAAAGCCCUGAAAGAUGAAGAGUGGUCUCAAAUAGUCAAGACCCCCUGCUGGGGGGAGCGUCUAUCCUGCUCUGUGGAA
rnacentral:antisense_RNA from 1 species